UAAAACAAGGAACACAAGAAAUGACAUCCUCUUCUACAUCAUUAAGCUUUCCAACACAGUGCACAAAGGAAACCACAUCUAAACCCACCAGUACCUCCUCAACUGAGGCAAACCCACAGACAGAACAAGGAACACAAGAAAUGACAUCUCCUACACAGAGCACAAAAGAAACCACAUCUAAUCCCACCAGUACCUCCUCAACUGAGGCAAACCCACAGACAGGACCUCUUUUGAUCCCUGUUGUAUCUGUGGUCCUGGUGCUGUUUCUGAGUGGACUAUUCUGCUUCAUACGUGCUCAACGAAAAAGAAGAAACAAUCCAGGUACGAAAACCACACCCACUCAUU